CGCGCCGAGCGCCCCCGACUCCGGCUCUCUCGCCCCGCCCACCGCACCGCCGCCACCAAUCAGCUGCCGCGCUGACGGCCGACUACGGGCCGCUGGCAGCAGCACACGCAACCCCGGGGAACGGCUGGCUCUACAUGGCCCGUUCCGAUUGGUUCGGCGGAGGCCCGGCUCACCCGUCACGCCCUCCCGUCAGCAAAUAGCGCCGCACGUGUCUCAGCGACGGCCGCUGAGCGAGCGGAUCCUUCCGAAACGGCGCCUUCCAUUGGCUGUUGUGUCAUUCCUACAGAACCCACAGUUCCUUGCGAGGCCCGCGGCGCAGCCUGGGAGCGCGUGCCCCCAAGCGCCCGCAGUGGGGCAGGGACUACGUCACCCACAACUCCCUGCGACGAACGGCGCAGGGCGCGAGCGCGGCGUCGCCGCCCGCAGCCCCGCCCAUUCCAGACCGCAGAAUUCCGGGGAAUGAGAUAUACUUUGUUGACUAAGAGUAUGGAAACAGCAGAAAAUUAAGUGUGUGCCUAAACCAGCACAGAUGGAGUAUGUGAAACAUAAAGAGUUUAAUGCGACUUCAUCUUCAGAAAGGGUUCACUUCUAGAAAUUAGUGUAGCGCUGUGGGACGCAACUCUUUGGUUCUCAUAGGAAUUGCAUCUUUUUGUGGGUCAGUUAAAAAGCAAACGAGGAAGGGAGCUUGCAACCCAGCCUUUAACGGACUGAAACAUGGCUGGGUGGUAAAUGAUCCCCAGGCGUGACAGGACUGUACUGCUACACAGUGCUGUGCUGAAAUAUAAAGUGGGGUUUUCCCACACUAUCUAGUGUCAAGCCACUUCAGCCUUACAGCGCUAUACUUGGGAUCUCUGCAGGGCGAGAGCAGCCACAUUUCUCCCAUGAGACACAGUGGCAAGCAGUGGUGGCAAAUGCAAUCCCACCCAGGGCUAAGGGAUUUUCUGCCUUCUAGGGAACAGAAUGCCUGCUCUGCUCCAGACAGGAGUUGUCUGAAGAGCAUGUGCAGUGAUUGCCUUCUCUGGUGCACUCCUCAGCGCAUUUCACAGGCCCCCACAGGACAUACCAUAAGGCUCUUAGAAAUCAGCCCAAGAAAAUUCUGUCUGUUAAUACAGUUCUUCAGCUUCCAGUAAUUUCAAACAUUUUACCUUGAAUAGAACAUCAGGACAAUAUUACACUGAUUUUGCUUCCUAUUAGGUUUGCAGGCCUGCCUGUAGGGUGUCUGGUGGAUUACAGGAGUGUAGCAGGAUGUGGGACACUCUCCCUUUGAGUCAGUGUCUUGGCACAAUGCUACAGGGAUUAUGGAUUUCUGUGUGCCCUCUCAAGUAAUUUUAGAAGCACUGUCAGCUUUAGGAUGAUAAAUUAGUAAUAAUAUCCCAUGGUGUUAACAUUAUUUACUGGUAUAAAAGCAGAGUUACGGUAGGCAAGAUUUCUGCAAAGCACUUGUUCCAGUGUCCAUAAAUAUCACUGACUGGAGUCCUAAUUGUUUGAUAACCCAGCUGCCACUAGAUAUGCCAUGUUGCACUCCAGAUAUUACAGUCUAUUUAUGAUAAAUUAAAUGUAAAUUUGAGGGAUGCAACACAGAAAAAUAUCAGCUACUCAUUCUCAGGAUUGUUUUGCAGAACUGUUUUUAAGCAACUGUAAAAAGCUGAUUGAAUAAACUCUCUGACUUCUUCUUCUGCUUCUUCCCA
ensembl:lncRNA